GACGAACGCUGGCGGCGUGCUUAACACAUGCAAGUCGAACGGUGAAGCGCCUUCCUUUUUGGUGGGUGUGGAUGAGUGGCGAACGGGUGAGUAACACGUGAGUAGCCUGCCCCCUUCUUCUGGAUAACCGCAUGAAAGUGUGGCUAAUACGGGAUAUUCUGGGUCUGUCGCAUGAUGGGUCUGGGAAAGAUAUUGUUUCGGUGGGGGAUGGGCUCGCGGCCUAUCAGCUUGUUGGUGGGGUGAUGGCCUACCAAGGCGGUGACGGGUAGCCGGCCUGAGAGGGUGGACGGUCACACUGGGACUGAGACACGGACCAGACUCCUACGGGAGGCAGCAGUGGGGAAUAUUGCACAGUGGGCGCAAGCCUGAUGCAGCGACGCCGCGUGAGGGAUGGAGGCCUUCGGGUUGUGAACCUCUUUCGCCAGUGAAGCAGGCCUGCCUCGUUUGUGGGUGGGUUGACGGCAGCUGGAUAAGAAGCGCCGGCUAACUACGUG
rnacentral:rRNA from 1 species